rnacentral:tRNA from 1 species
GGCCAGAUACAGUAGCUCAACUGGUAGAGCACUGCACCAGAAUCGCAGAGGUCAGGGUUCAAUUUUUCUGGUCA